UACGUAGGGUGCAAGCGUUGUCCGGAAUUAUUGGGCGUAAAGAGCUCGUAGGCGGUUUGUCGCGUCGAAUGUGAAAACCCGGGGCUCAACCCCGGGCCUGCAUUCGAUACGGGCAGACUAGAGUUCGGUAGGGGAGUCUGGAAUUCCUGGUGUAGCGGUGAAAUGCGCAGAUAUCAGGAGGAACACCGGUGGCGAAGGCAGGUCACUGGGCCGCAACUGACGCUGAGGAGCGAAAGCAUGGGGAGCGAACAGG
rnacentral:rRNA from 1 species